CAUGCAGACCCAUUGGCAUCGCC
rnacentral:siRNA from 1 species